rnacentral:tRNA from 1 species
UUGAAAAUAGGGCUUCGGCUCUAUUUUUUUGUUUGUUGUUCGAGAAUUUUCUGUUGUUGCUCAAUGAUCUUCUCAAGGUGCUUCUCUUUGUUUUCAGC